rnacentral:rRNA from 1 species
GAUGAACGCUAGCUACAGGCUUAACACAUGCAAGUCGCAGGGUAACAUGAGGAAAGCUUGCUUUCCUUGAUGACGACUGGCGCACGGGUGAGUAACGCGUAUCCAACCUUCCCAUAACUACGGGAUAACCCGUUGAAAGACGGCCUAAUACCGUAUGAUAUCGUUUGCUGACAUCAAAUAACGAUUAAAGGUUUAGCGGUUAUGGAUGGGGAUGCGUCUGAUUAGCUUGUUGGUGGGGUAACGGCCCACCAAGGCGACGAUCAGUAGGGGUUCUGAGAGGAAGGUCCCCCACAUUGGAACUGAGACACGGUCCAAACUCCUACGGGAGGCAGCAGUGAGGAAUAUUGGUCAAUGGGCGAGAGCCUGAACCAGCCAAGUAGCGUGCAGGAAGACGGCCCUAUGGGUUGUAAACUGCUUUUAUGUGGGGAUAAAGUGCGUGACGUGUCAUGCAUUGCAGGUACCACAUGAAUAAGGACCGGCUAAUUCCGUGCCAGCAGCCGCGGUAAUACGGAAGGUCCGGGCGUUAUCCGGAUUUAUUGGGUUUAAAGGGAGCGUAGGCUGUCUAUUAAGCGUGUUGUGAAAUUUACCGGCUCAACCGGUGGCUUGCAGCGCGAACUGGUCGACUUGAGUAUGCAGGAAGUAGGCGGAAUUCAUGGUGUAGCGGUGAAAUGCUUAGAUAUCAUGACGAACUCCGAUUGCGCAGGCAGCUUACUGUAGCAUAACUGACGCUGAUGCUCGAAAGUGCGGGUAUCAAACAGG